UUGGAGGGCAAGUCUGGUGCCAGCAGCCGCGGUAAUUCCAGCUCCAAUAGCGUAUAUUAAAGUUGUUGCAGUUAAAAAGCUCGUAGUUGAAUUUCGGGAUCAGAGUGUCGGUCGUGCCUCGGUACGCACUGGUAUUAUUGGUUCCUACCUUCUGAAGAACCGCGAUGUCAUUAAUUUGGUGUCGUGGGGAAUCAGGACUGUUACUUUGAAAAAAUUAGAGUGUUUAAAGCAGGCUUACGCUUGAAUACAUUAGCAUGGAAUAAUGAAAUAGGACGUUUGAUUCUAUUUUGUUGGUUUCUGGGAUUGACGUAAUGAUUAAUAGGGAUAGUUGGGGGCAUUAGUUUUCAAUUGUCAGAGGUGAAAUUCUUGGAUUUAUUGAAGACUAACAACUGCGAAAGCAUUUGCCAAGGAUGUUUUCAUUAAUCAAGAACGAAAGUUAGGGGAUCGAAGACGAUCAGAUACCGUCGUAGUCUUAACCAUGAACUAUGCCGACUAGGGAUCGGAUGAUGCUAAUUUUUUAAUGACUCAUUCGGCGCCUUACGGGAAACCAAAGUGUUUGGGUUC
rnacentral:rRNA from 1 species